rnacentral:lncRNA from 1 species
UCGAUGCCUCGCGACCUAGGGGUGUCCCAACAGUGUUGGAUCCGACGAUCAUGGCUUACAUGAUGUCAUCACCGAGGCCUUCAACCGCCUCAACGCCGCAACCGAGAAGAUCAGUGGGAAGGUGCUCAAGGCCACCAGCGUCCUCGCCAAGGCCUUCACCCUCACCAAGGACUUCCUCAUCCACACCAAGAAGCACCUAGUAUGGCGCUCUUUCCCAUUGCCCCGAUCUGCUAUUUACGGUCGCACUUGGCGCUUAGAUCUUUGGGUGUUUCCUUCGGUUCGUACAUAGAAAUGGCUGAUCAAGCCGAGAUUUUGGUGCUGCGAGUGGUGGCUUCCUUUCGGCAGUGUGGGGACUCGUGGAACAGGAGAUUCAGAGUGCUAGGGGCUAUGGCGAUGGCACUGGGAGAGGCUGGGGAGGAGGAGGCAGUCCAUGCGAAGGAGUGCCAUGGUCACUGGCCGAUAGGAUGUCUCACUUGCUCCCAAGAUGCUUAUGGAAUGGUGGUUUCAAGCAACCCUAAGAUGCUUUUUGAGAUUAGAGACCUCGAGAAUAGGCAUGAACUUUAAGAAAUCUCACUUGAGACUGGCUACAUCUGUUGCAUAUGGGCAUUUAUUCUAAGUUCAAGGAUUGGGAGAGAAACAUACUUUCUAGUGAGAUGGUAUGGGAGCCUUGUUUGAGUGACCAGUUGAUCAAACUUUGUCAUAGAUUUCUUUCAUUCUUUAUUAAGUAGAUAUGGCAUUUCCCUUUAACCGUACCUUCACUUCUUUAGCAGAUGUAUGGUUCUAUUGAUCAAGAUUUUUUUUCUAAGGUGUGAGAUAUUACACUCUUGUCUCUGCCGAGUUACUAGUUUACUCUUUUUCUACAAGUGGCCACCCUUGUGCCCAAAACUAGGACUUCAGCAAAUAAUCAAAGAGGCCGGAGCUAUGUUGCUCACACACUUCAAUUCAUUACCUAAUCUUAGGUAGAGACCAUGGGAAGUUUAUGCUUGGUUUAGUGAUAGGCAUGCUUUAGGUUGUUAUGACGUUUGCAACAUUUUGAUUAUGUAAAGUGAUAAUGUAAGUCCCAGAUAUGUAGUGACUAGAGAAUGCCAGUGAGUGACACCAUACUAGAGCACUUGGAUCCAAGCUAUGUGGCUUCUACUUUUCGAUGAAAAGGCGAAAAUGAAGGAUCAUAAUUUUUUCACGAUGUCUUGUGAUGCGUUCAGUACUUUAGUUAAAUCAUCAUGUUUCAGAACUAAAAUUUAUUUGGUUUCAUUGAUCGAAUCUGUAGAAUAUCUUUUCUGCUAAUGUUUCCAUUUGAUUAUUUCCUGUAAUUUACAAACAUGCCCUGCAAAAAUGUCACUGUAUAAGUUCAGCCCCAACUCCACACCAAAGUACUUGAUGGCAACAUGUUGUUUUGCUAUUGAAGUACAUCUCCAAGACACUGAAAGGGCGGAACACCUUAUAUGCGCUGACCAUGUAGGCGAUUGAUCCCAUGCUCUUAAAUUGGUGUUUCUUUCUUUCUAUUUGCAACAACCCACUUGAGGCAGUAGAUGAAUGGUGUGUUUAAAUACAUUUCUCUCGAUGUAUCAGUCUUCUAUCUCCUAUCAGUACUUCAGGAAACCAUUUGUUUAUCCAUGGAUUUUAGGCAAAUAUUUAUGUGGAUUUGGCUGCAACAUGUGUCGUAUGUUUCCUUUUAUAUAUGCUCUAGGAUACAUUUACCGUUGUGUCAUCCCUUUCUCUUUAUGCGUUCGAAAAAGCUAUAACAACUGAACAACAUUUUUAGUUUCAUGGCAUGCCUUCCUAUUUCUAAAGACGCCGACUAUUCAUGGCGUGCCUUUCUUACAUGAUCCAAUUGAGGUACACCAUGGAGUUUAGUAUAUUCUUAAUAGUUUAAAUUGGUGCUCCGACUCUUGUCUUCCCUUCUAUUGUUGUGUAGUGAUGUGCUUGCCCGUGUACUUGCUAAAACAUUUUAGAUAAUUUGAUUAUGUAACUAAUUUGUGUUCUCGUAGAUUUAUUAUUAUCCUGUGUAGCAUUGAUGCCGGUGUGCUGAAUGAAUUAUAUGCAAACUACUAUGUGCCUUAAUUAUCUUUCAUUGUUCCAUAUCUCUUCAGGUAUGUUAUUUUGUUCCAGUUUGGCCUACCCAUCAUUGUUACUGUGAUUUCUAAGUUCCUUUGGUUCUACGAGUUCUGGGAUGAGAUUAAGUUUACUAAUGUAAACUCCCCCUUGGUGUUUCCUCUCUACUCUUGCAUUUUUUUUCUUAUGGUCUGCAACUUUUGGGGAUCCUUUAUGUGCUCAUAUAUUUAUUGAUCUUUUUUACAGACCGAGAUGAGCAUCCCAAAGGAAGUAGACUUACCCCCUUCAAAAAGGUCAGAUUUGUUGGAAAUAUGUCCUAGAGGCAAUAAUAAAAUGGUUAUUAUUAUAUUUCCUUGUUCAUGAUAAUUGUCUAUUGUUCAUGCUAUAAUUGUAUUAACU